UACGAAGGGGGCUAGCGUUGUUCGGAAUUACUGGGCGUAAAGCGCACGUAGGCGGAUAUUUAAGUCAGGGGUGAAUCCCAGAGCUCAACUCUGGAACUGCCUUUGAUACUGGGUAUCUUGAGUAUGGAAGAGGUAAGUGGAAUUGCGAGUGUAGAGGUGAAAUUCGUAGAUAUCGCAGGAACACCAGUGGCGAAGGCGGCUUACUGGUCCAUUACUGACGCUGAGGUGCGAAAGCG
rnacentral:rRNA from 1 species